CCUACGGGUGGCAGCAGUGAGGCAUAUUGGUCAAUGGGCGCGAGCCUGAACCAGCCAAGUAGCGUGAAGGAUGACUGCCCUACGGGUUGUAACCUUCUUUUAUAAAGGAAUAAAGUGAUGCACGUGUGCCUUUUUGCAUGUACUUUAUGAAUAAGGAUCGGCUAACUCCGUGCCAGCAGCCGCGGUAAUACGGAGGAUCCGAGCGUUAGCCGGAUUUCUUGGGUUUAAAGGGGGCGUAGAUGGGUUUUUAAGUCAGUUGUGAAAGUUUGCGGCUCAACCGUAAAAUUGCAAUUGAUACUGGCAGUCUAGAGUACAGUUGAGGUAGGCGGAAUUCGUGGUGUAGCAGUGAAAUGCGUAGAUAUCACGAAGAACUCCGAUUGCGAAGGCAGCUUACUAAACUGCCACUGACAUUGAUGCUCGAAAGUGUGGGUAUCAAACAGGAUUAGAUACCCUGGUAGUC
rnacentral:rRNA from 1 species